GAUGCCAAGGAAUCUGGCUUUUUAGAUGAUUUCUCUGAGUUCCAGUAUCCCAUUGGUAUCAAGGAUCCUGCCAAUUUAAACUUUCACUCCAAUUCAAAUAUUCCACUCCCUAGUUUUGAUAUUAUAGUAGAAGCUGAACCGCCAGAUGUUGUGAAGUUUGCCAUAUCAUCAGGUGCUGUGAAUCAAUUUUUUAAGUGGAAGACAUAUUUUCUGGGGGUUUUCAGUCUAAGAUACAACAAAAUCAUCUCCUAUUCAAAGAUACUGGCAACUUUCUCAAGGUCAACUUCCAAACAGGUAGCAGACAAAACCUUGAUUCUUGAUUAAUGAAAAGAAUACCUUCAGAAUGGAAAAGACAAAGGCACAGCCAAGAAGGUUUUGAGGAUAUGAGCAAAUAACUUCAAAAAAUCGCAGAGUCCCAUUAGCAGUGUUUAUUACAUGUUCAUUCUCACAUCCCCUCUCCAUUACAGUACCAUGCCUUUAUUAUCCAUUAGGGCCAACAAUAUUGCUUCAAAAUACCUUGUGACAAUUGCCCCAUUCACCUGCUUUGCUUCUGGCAAACUCUGGAAUUAGAAAAAGGUCCUUUCUAGCAACCAUAUAAAAAUAGUUUAUAUUGUUAAUGGCUCAAAAGUGCAGGUACAAUUUUCACACGGAUAUUCUAGCCAUCUUUUGUGUUUCUGUCUCCAGAAGAAGAUGGUCUUAACUUUUGACAAAUCUUAUGACAGAUGUGUCUAAUAUCGUGAUGGCCACUCUAGAAUUAAUACCACCCAUAAUAAAUCACUAUUUUAUUGUUAAUGUUUUUUAUUGUUAUCUGAGUUUGGUAAACAAAAUUAAAAUAGUUGAGACUCAUCAAUAUUGUGCAGUGUUUGCUUAACUUGCUAUUUAUCCCAUUCAACCUUGCUAACCUAAGAAAACUGGUAACAUAUGUCCUUUACCAAGAA